AUCGAACGCUGGCGGCAUGCCUUACACAUGCAAGUCGAACGGUAACAGGUCUUAGGAUGCUGACGAGUGGCGAAGGGGGGAGUAAUACAUCGGAACGUGCCUAGGAGAGGGGGAUAACUAAUCGAAAGAGUGGCUAAUAACGGAUGAGAACAACGGAUGAAAGUAGGGGAUCGCAAGACGUAGUAGUACAAGAGCGGGCGAUGGCAGAUUAGGUAGUUGGUGGGAUAAAAGCUUACCAAGCCGACGAUCUGUAGCUGGUCUGAGAGGACGAUCAGCCACACUGGGACUGAGACACGGCCCAGACUCCUACGGGAGGCAGCAGUGGGGGAUUUUGGACAAUGGGCGAAAGCCUGAUCCAGCAAUGCCGCGUGCAGGAUGAAGGCCUUCGGGUUGUAAACUGCUUUUGUACGGAACGAAAAGCCCCGGGUUAAUACCCUGGGGUCAUGACGGUACCGUAAGAAUAAGCACCGGCUAACUACGUGCCAGCCGCCGCAGUAA
rnacentral:rRNA from 1 species